UACGUAGGGGGCAAGCGUUGUCCGGAAUCAUUGGGCGUAAAGAGCGUGUAGGCGGCCAGAAAAGUCCGCUGUGAAAACUCGAGGCUCAACUUCGAGCUGUCGGUGGAAACUUUCUGGCUAGAGUCCGGAAGAGGAGAAUGGAAUUCCUGGUGUAGCGGUGAAAUGACGCAGAUAUCAGGAGGAACACCGGUGGCGAAGGCGGCUUGCUGGGCCUUACCUGACGCUGAGGAGCGAAAGCGUGGGGAGCAAACAGG
rnacentral:rRNA from 1 species